CAGACUCUUGUGAGACAGAGUACUAAGCUUACUAAAAGGAGUUUGGGCUGGAAGUGAAAGUGUUUCUGGUUCAGUCCUGAUGGUACUUCUCUGCGAGGGUCCAAGUGGCUGGAGCUCUGUGGACUCUAGAAUGAAGGAAGGUGAUAGGGGUCGGAGAAGGAGUACUCGUGUCUUCUGCAUUGGCCUCUGCUCUCAAGCAUCUACGCAGAAAGCAGGAUGGGAAGUAACAGAACUCAGUAUUGGCUGCCUCUGGGUCCCCGCCAUCACCACUCUGUCCAGUUGUGGGGGACCCAGCAAAAGGCAGAGCAGCUGCCAGAAUGGCAGGAAGGCCACCAGAGCAGCAGAUGAGCCUAAAAGAUGGCUCCUGACUCAGUGCAGAAUGUGUGUUUUUUUCCCCCAUGGAUCUUUGAAAUGAGGUUGGGCCCAAGCCAUAGUUCCAUAACCUCUUUCCACAGUGCAAGAAGAAUCUCGGCUGUUCUCCUCAUUCUCACCUCUCCAGUGAUCUUUAUUCACAGAGGGAGCCAAAUCAGGCAAAAUUCAGUUUGUGCAUGAGUGUUAGAAACUCAGCUGGCUCCAAGUGCGCCCACCUACCAGCCCAAUGAGCUUGGCUGGGCUCAAUAAACUCUCACUGUGUGAUUGUGCUCCCUGACUGGACCCAGCUGCUCCCCAUUUAGGCUUGGUAGCAACAGCAGCACACUGGCUGCUCAGUGUGUUCUGUGCCUGCUGCUACACAAGACCUGCUUCCUGUAUUGCCCAUUGUUCCAAGCUCCUGUAUCAGCCCUAGUCCCAACCUUCCUCAGAACUCCUGGCUUUGACCAGUGGCUUGUCUCCUGACCAUGACUUUUUGGUUCUGCUCCAACCAUUAGGCAAGACUCCUGUUCAGGCCACUAGGUCACAUUGCCUACUGCCAGUGUCUUACAACAAGCUAUGAUGGUUGAUGGCAGGGGUGUGGUAAGCAGGAUGGGAAGUAACAGAACAGUAGAGUGCUGUUGGGAGUUGGUGAUUCUUUAAUAUUCAAGAGAGAUGGCUGAGUAGUGGGAGCAAUUUCUCCAGCAGUAAUGGCUAAUAACCUGGGAUAUCUUCACAUAAGGAAGGAAGGGAGCUUCAUCAAUACUGAAUCAUUGGACUGAGACUGGACAAACCUCUGUACAAUGUACUGUAGGGAGGCUCUUAUGCUGGCUAGAGGAGGAUGAGAUGGCCUAUGGCAAUCUUGUCCUUGAUUUUGUCCUCAUCAUCAUCCCCCUGUAACUUUUUUGCAUGUACAAAAUGAUAUAUUCCUAAGGAACAAUGGCACAUUGAUGAUGAAGGAAAUUAAAUAGCAUCUUAGGACCUCAUGGUGCAGGAUACUUCUACCACAAGAACCUCAAGUGAAGGAGCUGAUUUCUUUUUGUACUUUAGGCCAAAUUAUGUCCCUCUCCCUUUCCUUGUCUCACCUCCCAGCCCCAGCUCCUUUGUUGACAAAGCCCUGGUGGGGCAGGGAGGAGGAGGAGGAGGAAUACAGUGAUUUGGCACUAAAUGCCUCUACAACAGUUUCACGUCCCCGGUACAGGCUAUGGACUGCUGUAGCAUAUGAGGCCUGGGAGUACACCUUACAAAGGGAGUUCAAACUCCUGGUUCUGUGUUGUGGCAUAUCUCCUGGCUCACCAUGCCAUCACCUGCUGUCCCUCCAUUCUAUUCUGCUAUGGACAGAGAUAUUAGGUCUCUCAGUCAUCUCUGUGGCCAACACUUUGCUACAACAGAGCCAAAGUGGUUCCACUGUACUCCACACCUUGCAUGCCCAUAGGGACUAUGCAUUUGACCCUUAACCAUGGAAGACGGUGUUUAAUAUCUUUCAGCAUUUCCUUUGAAUGUGACUAGAGGAAAUAAAAUUGCUAAGGCAUUAGGAACUUUACAAAACCUGGCAGAGCAGCAGGGUGCAUAAUAAUAGAAAGACAAAGGAACUUAAUCGGUGAUAUACAGGAUGGGGAUGGAGGAGGGGAGGAAGCAUGAUGUAGUUAUAAUGAGAAACCGCAAGAUUGACAUGAAAAAGAUGGGACAGGCAGCAGAGUAUAAAUAGUAGCUGCAGCUUAUUUGUAACUUUCAUUUUUAGGUGGGGAUGAUUGACACAUGGAUGGGCAGGAUGAAGGUAACCUCCCUGAUCUUUAACUUGCAGGUCACAUGCAGAAAACUUUGAGAAAAUACUCCAACAUGUAGAUGUCAAAUUGAGUGACAGCCUCGUGUGAGGUGAAUUGCAUUUACUGGCUUUUUUACAUGCAUCGCUUCACAGAAAUGAUGGCUGCCAUUUGAACAAAAAGACAUCCUUCCCGACCAGGGUCAAGAAACUGACAGUGCCCACCCAUUAAUAGAAAACACUGUCAUUUAAAAUAAAAUGCUGUGUGGAAAACUUCAGAAAUCUAUUAGCCAACACAGAGGAUAGUAUCAGUUUCUGCACAUGAAUUACCGUAUACCAUUCCAGUGAUAAUGUACAGCACAGCGUGUGGUACAAUUUUCAUCUGUAACAAUAUAUAUAGAAUGCCAUAUGGCUGACAGCAUGUACUACACAUGUCAGGCUGUUCUAUUUUCUAGCUAUCUACAUUUUAUUUGCUUCUGUCUAAUUAUCUUAUUUUGCUGGAGGGGCGGGAGAGAGAGUCAGAAAAGCCCAUAAGAAAGAUCAAAGGCAACUAAUUGUGUGAAUGAUUUAAUUCAAGUUUCAAAAUAUUUUUGUAAUUUUUUU